UACGGAGGGCGCGAGCGUUAAUCGGAAUCACUGGGCGUAAAGCGCGCGCAGGCGGCGCUCCAAGCCCCGCGUGAAAGCCCCGGGCUCAACCUGGGAACUGCGCGGGGGACUGUGGCGCUGGAGUGCGGGAGAGGGGUGUGGAAUUUCCGGUGUAGCAGUGAAAUGCGUAGAGAUCGGAAGGAACACCAGUGGCGAAGGCGGCACCCUGGACCGACACUGACGCUGAGGCGCGAAAGCGUGGGGAGCAAACAGG
rnacentral:rRNA from 1 species